GGAUAGCUCAGUUGGUUAGAGCAUGGUGCUGACAUUGCCGAAGUUGCAGGUUAGAUCCCUAUAAGGGACA